rnacentral:rRNA from 1 species
AUUGAACGCUGGCGGCAUGCCUUACACAUGCAAGUCGAACGGUAACAGGUUAAGCCGACGAGUGGCGAACGGGUGAGUAAUGUAUCGGAACGUGCCCAGUCGUGGGGGAUAACUGCUCGAAAGAGCAGCUAAUACCGCAUACGACCUGAGGGUGAAAGCGGGGGAUCGCAAGACCUCGCGCGAUUGGAGCGGCCGAUAUCAGAUUAGGUAGUUGGUGGGGUAAAGGCCUACCAAGCCUACGAUCUGUAGCUGGUCUGAGAGGACGACCAGCCACACUGGGACUGAGACACGGCCCAGACUCCUACGGGAGGCAGCAGUGGGGAAUUUUGGACAAUGGACGAAAGUCUGAUCCAGCCAUGCCGCGUGCGGGAAGAAGGCCUUCGGGUUGUAAACCGCUUUUGUCAGGGAAGAAAAGGUUCUGGUUAAUACCUGGGACUCAUGACGGUACCUGAAGAAUAAGCACCGGCUAACUACGUGCCAGCAGCCGCAGUAACAC